rnacentral:lncRNA from 1 species
UUUUUCUUGCCUCGUCUAGAUAGGGAACGUCCCCGUUCUCUUCAACUGGAGGAUGAGUCUCCUUCUCCACUUUCAAAUGGUUUCUUUUGAUAUUUUAUUUUUUCUAUUUUAUCUCUUUUUGUAGAUAUAUAGUUAUAUAAAAGGAAUUCUUCAAUUUAUUUUUCUUUUCUAUCAUGUGGUUUUUAUUGUGGUUCUCUCCUUGCAUACAGGUUAGGAGGCUCACAGUUUCCUACACAUGUUAUCCUCUUCUUUAGAUGCAGGAGACAUGACGAUAACUCGCAGAGAAAGAUACAACUAGAUCGUCGAAGAGUACAUCCCACCACCUUCACCUUUUUUCCGGCAAAGGGAGGCAUGCCAAUGACUCCCAGAGAAUGUGCAAUUGGAUCGCUGAAGAGUAUAUCCCCACCACCUUCACCCCUUCUUCGGUAAAGUAAGGCAUAGCGAUAACUCGUAGAUAAAGACACAAUUAGAUCGCCGAAUAGUACAUCUCCAUCGCCUUCGUCGGUGUUGCUUGAUCUGUACAGCCUGCUAUUAACCUAUAUAGUAAAAAUUUGUAUGUCAACUAAAAUCUGAUAGUUUGUUAUGUACUUUAAAUCUAAUUUUCU